rnacentral:misc_RNA from 1 species
AGCAGCCGCGGUAAUUCCAGCUCCAAUAGCGUAUAUUAAAGUUGUUGCAGUUAAAAAGCUCGUAGUUGAAUUUCGGAAUCAGUAUGUUGGUCGUGCUUCGGUACGUACUGUCAUUACUGGUUUCUACCUUCUGAAGAACCUUGAUGUCAUUAAUUUGGUGUCUUGGGGGAAUCAGGACUGUUACUUUGAAAAAAUUAGAGUGUUUAAAGCAGGCAUACGCUUGAAUACAUUAGCAUGGAAUAAUGAAAUAGGACGUUUGAUUCUAUUUUGUUGGUUUCUAGGAUCGACGUAAUGAUUAAUAGGGGAUAGUUGGGGGGCAUUAGUAUUCAAUUGUCAGAGGUGAAAUUCUUGGAUUUAUUGAAGACUAACUACUGCGAAAGCAUUUGUCAAGGAUGUUUUCAUUAAUCAAGAACGAAAGUUAGGGGAUCGAAGACGAUCAGAUACCGUCGUAGUCUUAACCAUAAACUAUGCCGACUAGGGAUCGGAUGAUGUUAAUUUUUUAAUGACUCAUUCGGCGCCU